AUUGAACGCUGGCGGCAGGCCUAACACAUGCAAGUCGAGCGAGCGGCGGACGGGUGAGGAAGGUAGGGGGACCGCCCGAUAGAGGGGGAUAACUACGGGAAAAGGUAGCUAAAACCGCACAAUAUGGGAUAAGGCAUAUGGGAUUAGCUAGUAGGGGAGGUAAUGGCUCACUUAGGCGACGAUCCAUAGCUGGUCUGAGAGGAUGAUCAGCCACACUGGGACUGAGACACGGCCCAGACUCCUACGGAGGCAGCAGUGGGGAAUCUUGCGCAAUGGGCGAAAGUCUGAUGCAGCCAUGCCGCGUGUAUGAAGAAGGCCCUAGGGUUGUAAAGUACUUUCAGUCGGGAGGCGUUACCGACAGAAGAAGCACCGGCUAACUCCGUGCCAGCCGCCGCGGUAAUAC
rnacentral:rRNA from 1 species